UUACGGCCUUAUCACGUUGAAACACCGGUUCCCCUAAGAUCACCGAAGUUAAGCAACGACAAGACCAGUCAGUAGCUGGAUAGGUGACCGCUUGGGAAUACCAGGUACUGUAAG